rnacentral:rRNA from 1 species
AUCCAAGGAAGGCAGCAGGCACGCAACUUACCCAAUGCCGAGACGGCGAGGUAGUGACGAAAAAUAACAAUACGGGACUCUCUUUACGAGGUCCCGAAAUUGAAAUGAGUACACUCUAAAUCCUUUAACGAGGAUCGAUUGGAGGGCAAGUCUGGUGCCAGCAGCCGCGGUAAUUCCAGCUCCAAUAGCGUAUGUCAAAGUUGUUGCGGUUAAAAAGCUCGUAGUUGGAUCUCGGUGUCGGACAGGCGGUGCGCCCGUAGUGGCGAUCUACUGCCUCGUUCCGCCGAAAGGAGGCCGGCAGUUUUUCCCUUGGUGCUCUUGACUGAGUGGCUCUGGGUGGCCGGAACGUUUACUGUGAAAAAAUUAGAGUGCUCAAAGCAGGCCUUAGUGCCCGAAUACUGGUGCAUGGAAUAAUGGAGAACGACCUCGGCUCCACUUUGUUGGUUUACGGUGCUCGAGGUAAUGAUUAAGAGGGACUGCCGGGGGCAUACGUACUGCGGCGCGAGAGGUGAAAUUCUGUGACCGUCGCAGGACGAACGAAAGCGAAGGCAUUUGCCAAGAAUGUUUUCAUUAAUCAAGAACGAAAGUCAGAGGUUCGAAGACGAUCAGAUACCGUCGUAGUUCUGACCGCAAACUAUGCCAACUGACCCUCCGCCGGAGUUACUUUAUUGACUCGGCGAGGAGCCUCCGGGAAACCAAAGUCUUUGGGUUCCGGGGGGAGUACGGUUGCAAAGCUGAAACUUAAAGGAAUUGACGGAAGGGCACCACCAGGAGUGGAGCCUGUGGCUUAAUUUGACUCAACACGGGAAACCUCACCCGGUCCGGACACUGGAAGGAUUGACAGAUUAACGCUCUUUCUUGAUUCAGUGGGUGGUGGUGCAUGGCCGUUCUUAGUUGGUGGAGUGAUUUGUCUGGUUAAUUCCGAUAACGAACGAGACUCUUGCCUGCUAAAUAGUUCGGGGACGCCUUACGUGCGUCCCCGCGUAAAAAACUUCUUAGAGGUACAAGUGGCGUUUAGUCACACGAGAUGGAGCAAUAACAGGUCUGUGAUGCCCUUAGAUGUCCGGGGCCGCACAUGUGCUACAAUGAAUGCAUCAACGUGUAUCAGCCUCGCCCGAAAGGGUAGGGGAAUCCGCUGAACCGCAUUCUCAGUAGGGAUUGGGGAUUGCAAUUAUUUCCCAUGAACACGGAAUUCCCAGUAGGCGUCAGUCAUCAGCUGGCGUCGAUUGAGUCCCUGCCCUUUGUACACACCGCCCGUCGCUACUACCGAUCGCCCUUGAGAAUGAGCCUGUCGGAUUGGACCCGGUGAGCGGGCGCUCGUCGCCUGCGAGCUCUGGUGUUUGCCGAGAAGAUGGGCAAAUUCCCUGGGGUAGAGGAAGUAAAAGUCGUAACAAGGUAUCC